UACGGAGGGUGCAAGCGUUGUUCGGAAUUACUGGGCGUAAAGCGCGUGUAGGAGGUUCGCUAAGUCGAAUGUGAAAGCCCCGGGCUCAACCCUGGAAGUGCAUCCGAAACUGUCGUACUAGAGUCCUGGAGAGGAAGGUAGAAUUCCUGAUGUAGGGGUGAAAUCCGUAGAUAUUGGUAGGAAUACCUGUGGCGAAGGCUGCCUUCUUGACUAUGACUGACACUCAGACUCGAACGCGUGGGGAGCAAACAGG
rnacentral:rRNA from 1 species